UCUGAGUGCUUAGCACAGUGCCCAAAGUGCCCAGCUUCUGACACUUAAAGGUUAUCCUAAGGUCACCAGAAUGUUGUGAACGGAAUCAAAACAAUGGACACUAAAUUCUUUCUCCAUGGCUAUGUGAUCUCCUCAGAAGAUUAGAUGAUGGAAGUCCUGGAGACUUUGAGAGAACUGACCUUUACCAGUAUUGCUACUACCAAUUAACAUGGUUUCCCUGUUGACUGGUGCAACCAAGUAUUUGCUUAGUGUUUAACAUACAUAGAAGAUAACAAGCCUUAUUUGGGGAAAACUAUUUGUGAGAUACUUCUUCUGGUCUACCAGAAUUUUCUCUAAAGUUGGGUCUUGGUUUCCACUUAGCCUAAGCAUAAUAAUACACAAGGGUGUAGAUGACUGUGCUGAGUGCUAUGAAGAAACAAUAGAAGGUGCCAUUAGGGAAUAUGGAAAAACCUGAUUUAGUCGGAGGGGUGAGAUGAGCCAAGAUCUUCCUGAAGUGGUAACAUUUAAGCUGGGACCAAAAGAACGAGUAGGUGUCAGUAAGGCAAACAACUCUACUUGGAUUAACUGACCUUAUUUCAACUUUUCAAACAUAAAGCAAGCUCCCUGAUCAGGGUAUUCACACAGGCUACUUAACAUUGGCUUGAAAUGCUGGUCCUCUCCUGGUUUGUGAUUAUUUUUGUAAUUAUCCAUUUAAUAUUAGCCUUCCCUAGUAAUCUGCAAUCAGGAGUCAUAUUUCUUUCUUUAUCAUCUGGAUUUGAGUAAUAUUGAAUUACUUUGUGAUUCCUCUUCUUUGUCCCAUUAGUCACUGUCCAUCCAACAUCUCCUUUGAAGGGAGUGAGUUAAUGUACUGGUAGCAGAUCCAAUGGCAAAUGAAUGAGAUUUGGCUUGAAUAUUUUUCUGUGCUGCCCAAGUUCCCUUUAAUAAAAUAAUUUUGGUGGU